GGCCGCGAACGCGCGUGGGGGAGGCACUCAGCAAAGUGGCGAGUCGGGGUGGCCGGGUCCUGGGCGCCGCUCCCCCGAACGCGGUCGGGGUCGGGUGCCCUCGCUGGGUAGGGGAGGGUCCCUGGGCGCUCGGAUGCCUGCCGCACGGGCUUGGUGCAGGAUGGUGAGAGGCCGCCGCUGUGCCCUGGGGGUCCGGCCGCGACCCGGCAUUUUAGUAGGGUCGUUGACUUGAAUGGACUACACUCUGCUUCACGUGGAUUCGAAGAAACUGGAAGGGAUAUUCAGGAAGCAUUUGCCUUCUGUCCUAACCUCCAGCCUUCGUUCACAGAGAUUCUUCUUGGUUUAAUUUCCUUUCUGCUACCAGCCCCCGUUUUAUUGCUUGCAGUGUUUUAAGGUAGAUUCCGGUGCCGAGCGACGAGGGAGGUGUGUAGCCAUGGCGACCCACAGCAUCCCACUUCUGAACCUGAGGUCCCCCUGCCCCGUGCACCGGUGAUGGGGCCUCGCGCACACAGGGUGCGGAGCAGGGGUCGGAGGCAAGAAUCUGACCACGUGGUGCUGCGGACACUGACCCCGGGUCAGCUGACCCCAGCAUGGGUGGCCCCGGAGAAAAAGGCUAGAAAAAGGGAGAAUCAAAGUGCAUCUCUUCAUCAACUUAUUUUUAGUUGCGUUAUGUAAGUGGUUUCAUUUCAACGUCACGUAGGGAGGGGGGGUCUCAGAUUUAAUUACAGGAUGACAGCCUCUGCUUUUCAAGCAAGCUGUUCUCCUGGCAAGGCAGGCACAAGGAUUUGUGAAUUUUUGCUAAACAGAAGGAGCCCUUUCUGAGGUGACCGCAAAACUUUGAAGGGUUUUCACCACCAUCUCUCUCUCUGACCAGCCCAACCCGGUUUCUGCUGAGCUUGGCCUAAGGGGGUGGCGAUGUGUCUCAGAUCACAGGGAAAUUUCGUGCCUGUCAAGGGAGCUGUUUCUCCACCACCCCCCUCCUCCUGGCAGCCUCCCUGUCUCUCUAAGAGAAGAAUCCACCCAAUCAGAACUCCUCUUCCUUUUCUCCUUCCUGGAUUAGAGCACUUGUAAUCAGUAACCAGAAAGUUCCAGAGCAGAAGAGAGCGGAGGCAUGGGCACUGUCUCAUCUUCCCCAUCCUCUCUGGCCACUGCUGCCUCUUCCUUCCACGCCAGGUGCUCUGGGCGACCGGCCCGGGCAGGGUCACUGGGCAGAACUGUCCGACUUGUGUCCAGAGUACUGUCUUUUUGGUCCUCGGCCCACAUUCUUCACACUGUCGGCGUUGUCAGCAAGAGGGCAUGGGGGUGCCUGGAGCCAGAAGCUCCGGGGUGGGCGGAGGCCUGUGUCCUGCUGUCAGGAAGGUAACCUCAGCGGCUUCUAGCACACUGUGGCUUUGUCCAGCAUGAGGCAGGGCCAUGUUGCCUGCCACAGGGCGAAGCCUGGCGUCUACCUGGGGCUGCUGCUGAUGGCAUGACCACCAACUUGGGGAGCCAGUACCCGGGGCCAGUUGCUGGGACAGCAGCAGUGUGACGGCCAUGGGGGCCUGGGUAGAUUCUAGGCGGGCAAGGUACCUGAGCAGGGUGUUGGGAGAGCCGAGGUGUAGGUGGCAGAAAAAGAACCGAGAACUGUGCCCGGCACAUGGCGAGCCCUCAGUGUGUCUUAGAGAUUGUCAUCGUCAGUGGUUAGACAGGACCUUCCAGAGAGCACCCGAGUGCCCGUGGGAAAGCACGUGAGAAGCUGCCCUUUACAGCGGCUGCUCCAGGAGACCCCCAGCUUCGGUGUGGGCUGCGCAGCGACUUCCAGAGAGCACAGGUGCCAGGAAGACGUUGACAAGCAUACCUCAGCCAGGCCAGCCAGGCCACAUGUGCAGGGUGAGCCACGGGGACCGUACGUGGCCUUGACGUGCUGAGAAAGGCACUUCGCUGUACUCUUCCUCCCCAAACCUAUCACCCCAGGCUUAUCAUGAGAGGAACAUCACCAAUCCCAGCAGAGGGACAGUCUGCAGAUCCCUGCCCAGCACAUCAUCUGAGCCAGGGAAGCCUGAGACUGUCCUGGCCAAGAGGAGCCCGAGAAGACAUGAUGACUAAAUGUCACCUGGGGUCCGGGACGGGUCCUGAAGCAGUAGAAAGACACGAGGUAAAAACUAAGAAAACCUGAAUAAAGUCCAGACUCUAGUUAA